rnacentral:lncRNA from 1 species
UUUAAUAGGUUUUAAUUAUAUAACCAAUGGCUCUGAUACCAAUUGUUAGCCUUUAUGAGGUUAUACAAUUAAAAUACAAAUGAAUGAAUAACUGACAUGAUUUCAACGGCGGCCAUGGAAAUUGAACACAAAAGUAAUAGGGCACGGCAACACCAGGAUCUUCUUUAUACUCCUAACUGGAUAGAACUACUCUAUGGGAAGCAUUAUGUUGUGUGUUCUAGGGCUUAUAGGGACCGGUGUUUUUAUAAAGGCUAAAAGCUAGGGUUUCCAUCCAUAAAGGAAACCUAAACUUACUUUAUUAGCCUCCAGGUCAAGUAUCAUAAUCAUAUUCAAUUAAGGAUUCCAUCAAUCCUAUUUCCAAUAUAAGACACCUUAUAUAGGAUUGCUAUCUUUAAGAGAUCAAAUCACAAUCAACAUUAUUCUCCAAUAUUACAUUCCUAUUACAUGUAGUAGACCACUUAAAGGUCGAUUUAUAUUGGAUAAAUCCAACAGCUCGACCUCAUGGUGUAUAUGGAUAGGUUCAACAGCUUUGCAUGGGGAUCCAUCUCCUUUGAACAACUUCAUGACAACCUCUCAUUUGCUGCUUCAAGGAGAGGUUGAGGUAGAGUUGAGGGGAAUGGCGAGGGAGAUGAGGAGGAAGAAGAAGAAGUUAAGGGAACAAAGAGGGUGCAUCGGUCAGAAUAGGGUUGCAAAGGAUUUUUAUAUGCUUUUUAGGUAAUAUGUGUUGCUUUCAUUGGUAAUAUUGACUUUAUUAAUGUGAGCGAAUAUUCAUUUAUUGACGAAUACGUCUAGGUGUGGGCAUACGAAGAAUUUUUUGGUGGAAGACAACGAAGAAGUAGCCUAUCUACAAGCAACUGCAGUUGUAUAUAACUGAAAGCCGAGAGGUAUAAUUGUAUUGCAAUACUUUGGAAUUUUAUGAUUGAAAGUGCAUAUGUGUGAAUAUUGUAUGCGUGAGAAAUGUACUUAUGAUGUGUGCCUUUAAAUGGCAGGCUGUGGGGAUUAGAGAAAUUGUUUUGACUGAAGAGGAAGGGAAGAAAAUGUACUGAACAUGGGGGAACAAUGCAGACAUUGUGAUUGCUAAGAACUUGACUCUCGACACAAAUAAUGUCGGUGAUUUGAAAAUGCAGGUUGAGGUGUCAUUCGCGCAGUUGGCCCACGAGAAAGAGGGUAGUGAUGGAAGAAUUAAGGAGGGUAGUGAUGGAAAAACUUGUGGAGGAGAAUACCGAGGAAGAAGAUGAAGGGAAAAAAGAUGUGGAAGAAGAAGUUGAAGAGGAUGGAGAAGAUGAAAAAGAGGGAGAAGAAGAAAAAGAUGAAAAGGCAAAAGACAAGGAGGCAAAAGAAGAGGAAGGAGGUAAAGAGGAGAAAAAAAGAAGAAGACCAAGGUUGUCAAAUUGGCAGUAAUGUACAAACUGUUGUCAAAGAAGAAGAAAAACCAAAAGAAGAAGAAGAUGACGGUGGUGAAAAAGGGGGUGAUGAAAAAAUUGUUUUUGGAGAUAGGGGAAAAUGUGGGAACCAAGAGGAACGUUGAUGAGUCAAUAUUAUAUUAUAUAUAUUACCCUAUUCUUAGUAUGUUGAUAUGUAAAUUAACUAGCACUCAAAUUAAACCCUCUUUUUAUCAAUUGUAGCAAUGUAUGUAAGUAGGGAUCGUUCUAGACCGGGGAUUAGGAGGGAUUGCAAAAUCACUUGGACAUGACUCAAAAACGUAAAAACAAGUUUUAAACACUAAAAUAGACUCAAAGAAUGCAAAACUAAACUUUAAAACACCAAAACAAACCAAAAGACUCAAAACAGCACCAAAACACUCAAAACUGCCUUAAAAACACAAUCUGGGCAGUUUUGGACACUAAACACCAAAUUGGACGAAAUUGGGUUUUAACUUGAAUCAAAACACUUAAAAACACAAAGUAAAACACUUACUAACUAAUUUGACACUUUAAAACAAAGGGGGAUUGGUUUUGGCCGAAUUUAAAAACAAAACAAACUUUGUAAAUUAGAACAGAUUGUAAAAACGAAUUUGAUUUAAAUGGGUGAAUGGAAGGCUAGCUAAGGGGUUCAUCUCCACACAUGUUAUACUUGCAUACGAAACGAUUUCCAAUUGCUUUUCAAUAAACCAUGAAUUCUCAAUGCCCCAAGUUAAUUAGGUCCGCUUAAAUUAACCUUCAGAUUUUCCUAAUGUUAUUGAAUUGGAUGAUUGCAUACGACAACCCAAAACAUUCCCCACAAGUCCCCUACAUGAUUGCAUAAUAGAG